AUGUUUCUUCCUCCAGGCACUCCUGGACCUUAUCGUGAAAUGGAAAACAUCCCGGGGAGUGGGGUAUUUGGGGAACAGGAAUCAUCCCUUUCAGCAAAAGCCUCCUUUGAGAGGUGUUUGUGGCCCCACAGGGACAUGACUGAGUCCUACACCUCAGCCCUUCUGGGGAAAUUAUUUUGGUUUACUCCCUUGAAGCUCUCACCAGGAAGGCCUCCAACACUUCUCAAGGCUGAUAAAGUUUUGCCUCUGCCUUUCUGGAUGAGCAGACAGGCUCUGCCCCCUGCCAAGCCUAACCUACCCACGUGCUCACCAAACUAUUCGCCUGCAGCUUCACGUAUCUCACUUUAUGUAUCACCUCGUGCCAGCUCUCCUCUCUGGGCAUGUCUACGUCGCUAUUUUGGCCUGGGGUCUGGCAUGUCUCUUGGCAUCCUGACAGCCACGACAGAGUACGGGAGAAGAAAGUGGAAGGAAAACACGGGCACAGGCUGGGCGCUGGCUCGGCAGGUGUGGGUACACGACAGGGCUGGUCACCAGCCCAGGCUCGAGUCCAGGCAAAAUGAUCAUCGUCCUGUCUUUGUAGCACUUUAUUUGGAAAUGUUUCUGGCCAUUAAUUACCAUAUUUUGUAUAAAAUGACUUGGGAUGUUGCCUCAGGAGGCUUUUCCAGCUGCUGGGGCUGUGACCAGGGAGAGACAGCACGAUACAAGGCCCAGAAGAUACAAGGCCCCAGAAAUAGGGGAUCUCCUCAAACCACCACCUGUGGAGCUCAUUCUGGACAUAGGUGCCUACUGUUACCACAAAAGGCACCUUCAGUUCACUCUUUGCAUUUCCAGGCCCCAAAUUCUGUAUGCUACCAGUGGGGAGAAGCAGAGGCUGCAUUUGAGGUGUGUUUGAAUGCGGCCCUGCAGCUCUCCACAGGCUGCAGGGCUCACGGGGUCGGUGUUGUUCUGGAUGAUGCCACUCACAUCUGUCCCCUUGAGCCCUGUAGAUAUGUAAAGUUUUAUUUUUCAGACUCUGCAGGGAGUGGCUUGAACGUGGUCCAAGAGAUGACCCGUGGAGGUCCAACCUCCAGCGACACAUCUGCACAACCAUACUGA
rnacentral:lncRNA from 1 species